CGUGUAUGGUUCACGUAGGUGAUUUGAAGUCAUUUAGUUCAUAUUUGGUUAUGAUGCUCGC
rnacentral:tRNA from 1 species